GCCCUCGUAGCUCAGUUGGAUAGAGCGCGGCUUUCCUAAAGCUGAGGUCGCAGAUUCGAAUUCUGCCGGGGGUA
rnacentral:tRNA from 1 species